CAGAGGGUGCUAGCGUUGUUCGGAAUCAGUUGGGCGUAAAGGGCGUGUAGGCGGUUUGUUAAGUCAUGUGUGAAAUCCCUCGGCUCGACCGGGGAACGACGCAUGAAACUGGCAAGCUAGAGUACCAAAGAGGGGGUGGAAUUCCCGGUGUAGCGGUGAAGUGCGUAGAUAUCGGGAGGAACACCUGUGGCGAAGGCGGCCCCCUGGUUGGAUACUGACGCUGAGACGCGAAAGCGUGGGGAGCAAACAGGAUUAGAUACCCUGGUAGUCCACGCUGUAAACGAUGGGCACUAGGUGUCCGGGGUAUUGACCCCCUGGGUGCCGCAGCUAACGCAUUAAGUGCCCCGCCUGGGGAGUACGGUCGCAAGAUUA
rnacentral:rRNA from 1 species